AAUAGAUACCCAGGUAGUCCACGCCGUAAACGAUGAGUGCUAAGUGUUAGAGGGUUUCCGCCCUUUAGUGCUGCAGCUAACGCAUUAAGCACUCCGCCUGGGGAGUACGGCCGCAAGGCUGAAACUCAAAGGAAUUGACGGGGGCCCGCACAAGCGGUGGAGCAUGUGGUUUAAUUCGAAGCAACGCGAAGAACCUUACCAGGUCUUGACAUCCUCUGACAACCCUAGAGAUAGGGCUUUCCCCUUCGGGGGACAGAGUGACAGGUGGUGCAUGGUUGUCGUCAGCUCAUGUCGUGAGAUGUUGGGUUAAGUCCCGCAACGAGCGCAACCCUUGAUCUUAGUUGCCAGCAUUCAGUUGGGCACUCUAAGGUGACUGCCGGUGACAAACCGGAGGAAGGUGGGGAUGACGUCAAAUCAUCAUGCCCCUUAUGACCUGGGCUACACACGUGCUACAAUGGAUGGUACAAAGGGCUGCAAACCUGCGAAGGUAAGCGAAUCCCAUAAAGCCAUUCUCAGUUCGGAUUGC
rnacentral:rRNA from 1 species